UGGGGAAUAUUGGACAAUGGGCGAAAGCCUGAUCCAGCCAUGCCGCGUGUGUGAAGAAGGUCUUCGGAUUGUAAAGCACUUUAAGUUGGGAGGAAGGGCAUUAACCUAAUACGUUAGUGUUUUGACGUUACCGACAGAAUAAGCACCGGCUAACUCUGUGCCAGCAGCCGCGGUAAUACAGAGGGUGCAAGCGUUAAUCGGAAUUACUGGGCGUAAAGCGCGCGUAGGUGGUUCGUUAAGUUGGAUGUGAAAUCCCCGGGCUCAACCUGGGAACUGCAUUCAAAACUGUCGAGCUAGAGUAUGGUAGAGGGUGGUGGAAUUUCCUGUGUAGCGGUGAAAUGCGUAGAUAUAGGAAGGAACACCAGUGGCGAAGGCGACCACCUGGACUGAUACUGACACUGAGGUGCGAAAGCGUGGGGAGCAAACA
rnacentral:rRNA from 1 species